rnacentral:rRNA from 1 species
GUUAGGAAUAUUGGACAAUGGGCGCAAGCCUGAUCCAGCCAUGCCGCGUGAGUGAUGAAGGCCUUCGGGUUGUAAAGCUCUUUAGCCGAUGAUUAUAAUGACUGUAGUCGGAAAAUAAGCCCCGGCUAACUUCGUGCCAGCAGCCGCGGUAAUACGAAGGGGGCGAGCGUUAUUCGGAAUCACUGGGCGUAAAGCGUGCGUAGGCGGCUUUGCAAGUUGGGAGUGAAAGCCCAGGGCUCAACCCUGGAAUUGCUCUCAAAACUGCAAGGCUCGAAUUCGGGAGAGGAUAGCGGAAUUGUCAGUGUAGCAGUGAAAUGCGUAGAUAUUGACAGGAACACCAGUGGCGUAAGCGGCUAUCUGGACCGAUAUUGACGCUGAGGCACGAAAGCGUGGGGAUCAAACAGGAUUAGAAACCCCGGUAGUCC